rnacentral:rRNA from 1 species
AGCAGCCGCGGUAAUUCCAGCUCCAAUAGCGUAUAUUAAAGUUGUUGCAGUUAAAAAGCUCGUAGUUGAAUUUCGGGAUCAAUACGCCGGUCGUGCUUAGGUACGUACUGGCGUAAUUGAUUUCUCCCUUCUGACGAACCAUGAUGUCAUUAACUUGGUGUCAUGGGAAAUCAGGACUGUUACUUUGAAAAAAUUGAGUGUUUAAAGCAGGCUCACGCUUGAAUACAUUAGCAUGGAAUAAUGAAAUAGGACGUUCGAUCCUUAUUUUGUUGGUUUUUAGGAUCAACGUAAUGAUUAAUAGGGAUAGGUUGGGGGCAUCAGUUAUCAAUUGUCAGAGGUGAAAUUCUUGGAUUUAUGAAGACUAACUAUGACGAAAGCUA